AGCGAACGCUGGCGGCAUGCCUUACACAUGCAAGUCGAACGGUAACAGGUCUUCGGAUGCUGACGAGUGGCGAACGGGUGAGUAAUACAUCGGAACGUGCCUAGUAGUGGGGGAUAACUACUCGAAAGAGUGGCUAAUACCGCAUGAGAUCUACGGAUGAAAGCAGGGGAUCGCAAGACCUUGUGCUACUAGAGCGGCCGAUGGCAGAUUAGGUAGUUGGUGGGAUAAAAGCUUACCAAGCCGACGAUCUGUAGCUGGUCUGAGAGGACGAUCAGCCACACUGGGACUGAGACACGGCCCAGACUCCUACGGGAGGCAGCAGUGGGGAAUUUUGGACAAUGGGCGCAAGCCUGAUCCAGCAAUGCCGCGUGCAGGAUGAAGGCCUUCGGGUUGUAAACUGCUUUUGUGCGGAACGAAAAGCCCUGGGUUAAUACCCUGGGGUCAUGACGGUACCGUAAGAAUAAGCACCGGCUAACUACGUGCCAGCCGCCGCGGUAAAAC
rnacentral:rRNA from 1 species